GGGUUGCUAGCUCAGCUGGUAGAGCAACUGACUCUUAAUCAGUAGGUCCCGGGUUCGAGCCCCGGGCAACCCA
rnacentral:tRNA from 1 species